AUUGAACGCUGGCGGCAUGCUUUACACAUGCAAGUCGAACGGGCUUGGGGGCUUGCUCCCAAGUUAGUGGCGAACGGGUGAGUAAUACAUCGGAACGUACCGUGUAGUGGGGGUAACGUAGCGAAAGUUACGCUAAUACCGCAUACAAUCUACGGAUGAAAGCAGGGGACCUUCGGGCCUUGUGCUAUACGAGCGGCCGAUGUCUGAUUAGCUAGUUGGUGAGGUAAAGGCUCACCAAGGCGACGAUCAGUAGCGGGUCUGAGAGGAUGAUCCGCCACACUGGGACUGAGACACGGCCCAGACUCCUACGGGAGGCAGCAGUGGGGAAUUUUGGACAAUGGGCGAAAGCCUGAUCCAGCCAUGCCGCGUGUCUGAAGAAGGCCUUCGGUU
rnacentral:rRNA from 1 species